GCCCUUAUAGCUCAGUGGUAGAGCGCGUCACUAGUACCAAUCAGGUAUGACGAGGCCCGUCGUUCGAAUCGGCGUAAGGGCU
rnacentral:tRNA from 1 species